rnacentral:rRNA from 1 species
AACGAACGCUGGCGGCAUGCCUAACACAUGCAAGUCGAACGAGAUCUUCGGGUCUUGUGGCGCUCGGGUGCGUACCGCGUGGGAAUCUGCCCUCAGGUUCGGAAUAACCAUUGGAAACGAUGGCUAAUAACGGUUGAUGACGUUAAGUCCAAAGAUUUAUCGCCCGUGGAUGAGCCCGCGUAGGUUUAGCUAGUUGGUGUGGUAACGGCGCACCAAGGCGUCGAUCCUUAGCUGGUCGGAGAGGAUGAUCAGCCACAAUGGAACUGAGACACAGUCCAGACUCCUACGGGAAGGAGCAGUAGGGAAUAUUAGACGAGGAGCGAAAGCCUAAUACAGCAAUGCCGCGUGAGUGAUGAAGGCCUUAGGGUAGUAAAGCUCUUUUACCCGAGAUGAUAAUGACAGUACCGGGAAAAUAAGCACCGGCUAACUCCGUG